AACGAACGCUGGCGGCAGGCUUAACACAUGCAAGUCGAACGCAUCCUUCGGGGUGAGUGGCAGACGGGUGAGUAACGCGUGGGAACGUGCCCUUCAGUUCGGAAUAACCCAGGGAAACUUGGGCUAAUACCGGAUACGUGCGAGAGCAGAAAGAUUUAUCGCUGAAGGAUCGGCCCGCGUCUGAUUAGCUAGUUGGUGGGGUAAUGGCCCACCAAGGCGACGAUCAGUAGCUGGUCUGAGAGGAUGAUCAGCCACAUUGGGACUGAGACACGGCCCAAACUCCUACGGGAGGCAGCAGUGGGGAAUAUUGGACAAUGGGCGCAAGCCUGAUCCAGCCAUGCCGCGUGAGUGAUGACGGCCUUAGGGUUGUAAAGCUCUUUCGUCCGGGACGAUAAUGACGGUACCGGAAGAAGAAGCCCCGGCUAACUUCGUGCCAGCCGCCGCGGUAA
rnacentral:rRNA from 1 species